GAGGAAGCCGAAGAGCACGCGCAGGAAGUCCUGGACGUUGCCCACGUGUUGCAGAAUGCCCAGCAGGGCCUGGUCGUACAGCUCUGCCGCCCCGGGCUCCAUGGCGUCGCCGGCCGGAGGGACGCUGCUCACUGCGGGCGCGGCCAGGACGCCGGCCCACGGCCACUUCCGGCACGCUGCGGUAACGGCUCCGCCACCCGGCGCGACUUCCGGUCCGCGCUCGCUCGCCUCCCCCGCGACCGGGCGGGGCUGAGAGGCAGCGGAGCGUCCCCACCGCGGCCCCGACCCCGCCUCCCGGGCGGCUCUCCCGGGCGGCCUUGGUGAGGGGCGGACGUAGGCCCCGAAGUGGCUGCUAGGCGCGGGCAGGCCCGGGGCGGUGGAACCGAGAGCGCCCAACAGCCAUGUUACAAGCGGGCGGAAGAGGAGGUGGAACGUAACUCCCCACUCCCUAAGUGUAGGCUGCGCAGAGUGACUGCCCUCCAAAAUGCACAGCAUGGACAGCAUGAAAAGAGGCAGAGGGUAAUCGUACCGAAGAGACGCCAGACAGACACAACCUUGACCAGGAACCCAACUGAGCAGUACCAGCAGGAAUAAAAGUUGCUUUCUGGAAA